rnacentral:rRNA from 1 species
GAGUUUGAUUCUGGCUCAGGAUGAACGCUGGCGGCGUGCUUAACACAUGCAAGUCGAACGGGCGAAUUAUAUCGGAAGUCUUCGGGCCGAAGAGAUAAUAAGCUAGUGGCGGACGGGUGCGUAACGUGUGGGUAAUCUGCCUUUGUCAUAGGAAUAACUGCUUGAAAAAGUAGCUAAUACCAAAUAACAUAUCGUAUAGGCAUCUAUAAGAUAUCAAAGAGAAAUCGGACAAAGAUGAGCCCGCAUCUGAUUAGCUGGUUGGUAGGGUAAAAGCCUACCAAGGCGACGAUCAGUAGCCGGCCUGAGAGGGUGAACGGCCACAUUGGAACUGAGACACGGUCCAAACUCCUACGGGAGGCAGCAGUGGGGAAUAUUGCACAAUGGGGGGAACCCUGAUGCAGCAACGCCGCGUGAGUGAAGAAGGCUUUCGAGUCGUAAAACUCUGUUGUAAGGGAAGAUAAUGACG